UGAUCGUUACAUCUUCGCUGUACAAUCUAAGUAUUAUCGAACUUUCCUUCCACUUCGAUACCUGUCGUUUCAUUGCUAUCUUGUUGAAGUUUAGUGAGGACAAAAAUGUCAGUGACAAAAGUGAGAUUUCACUAGUUCAGUGGCCGCAUUUUGGACGAAAAUGCCCCGUCCCCUUCCCCAAACAGAAAUGAGAGUUGGCGCAACAGACUACGAAAGUGUGUCACUGUCGAGUCUUCUCAUUCUUUGCCACCUACUUUCUCUCUCUACGGUUCUAUUUCUUCAAAGUAACGGAAAUGAUAAAUAUGGGAAUAGAAAGAGGAAAGUUAUCAAAAGAUGCAGAGGAAUGGUUCAGCACUUGGUGAAAGGACGACCUUCGGCAGCUUAUGCUAGGGAAAUGGAAAGACUCUCUGCUAAAGAAUCUCUGCUUCGCGCUUUCAAGGAUGCUGGGGGAUUUGAAGCUUUAAUCGCAGGGAAAACAACAGAGAUGCAAUGCAUUGACGUGAAUGAAAGAAUUGUUAGCCUUGAACGACUCAAUUCGACACUUCGACCAACAACGUCUCCUUAUCUGGAAGGUCAAUGGAAGUGUGAAUGGCUUGGAUCGGGAAGUCCUGGGUUCAUUGCUGCCCGUUUUUUGUUUGAGAGGUUUCCUCCAACAUUGGCAAACUUGUCAAACUUGGAUACGGUGAUCAAGGAUGAAUAUGCAAAUAUUGCUGCAAAUAUAAAAUUAUUGAACUUGAUACAAAGCAACUUCAUUCUUUCUGCCAGGUUAUCUAUUGAGGGACCAAGGCGAAUGAAAGUGGAAUAUGUUGAAGGGAUAUUUGAAUCUCCAAAAAUUUACGAAGAAAGCAUACCUCAACAACUGAAGAGUGUUCUUGUUCAGGCAGCUAGCACAGUUCAGCAACUUCCUGUUUCUAUCAGGGAUGCUAUAGUCAGUGGAGUCAGGAUUCCUCUCGGCGGAACAUUUCAGAGGCUUUUCUUGAUUUCUUAUCUCGACGAAGAUAUCCUGCUCGUUAAUCGUGUCCAUAUUUGUGAAUCACGUCUUUUUGGAGAUUUGUCAAUACUUCAAUGACAAGUUGCAGAUAGCUGGUGCGUACUUAGGAUAUUAGAGGACAAGAAAUUGAUAUUCUGUGAGUUUUUGGUAUAGAAUAGAGAUAACAAGGGAUACUGCUGGAGUACCUGAAGUCUUUAGAAGAUUAGACUCCGCACCGUUGCCUAUGAUAGAUGGGAUAACGGAAUUUGAAAGUUGAAGACGCUUAAAUUUCAUUGUAAAUUCCUAGUAUAACCACAAGUAUCCCAACCUCUGUCUACAUUAGGGGAGAAAACACUGCUCCAGCUUUCCCGGUUUCCCCUUUUCGCUUUCCUCCAUCUCUGUUGCCCUCUUGUUUUUGUAAUAAUACAACUUGACUGGCAUUAUUAACUUAUUCCAUCUUUGGAAGAA